AGAGUUUGAUCAUGGCUCAGAACGAACGCUGGCGGCAGGCCUAACACAUGCAAGUCGAGCGGGGGAGCAAUCCCUAGCGGCGGACGGGUGAGUAACGCGUGGGAACGUACCCUUUGCUUCGGAAUAGCCCCGGGAAACUGGGAGUAAUACCGGAUGUGCCCUACGGGGGAAAGAAUUUCGGCAAAGGAUCGGCCCGCGUUGGAUUAGGUAGUUGGUGGGGUAAUGGCCUACCAAGCCGACGAUCCAUAGCUGGUUUGAGAGGAUGAUCAGCCACACUGGGACUGAGACACGGCCCAGACUCCUACGGGAGGCAGCAGUGGGGAAUCUUAGACAAUGGGCGCAAGCCUGAUCUAGCCAUGCCGCGUGAGCGAUGAAGGCCUUAGGGUUGUAAAGCUCUUUCGUGGGGGAAGAUAAUGACGGUACCCCAAGAAGAAGCCCCGGCUAACUCCGUG
rnacentral:rRNA from 1 species